CGCGGGGUGGAGCAGUCCGGUAGCUCGUUGGGCUCAUAACCCAAAGGUCGCAGGUUCAAAUCCUGUCCCCGCAA
rnacentral:tRNA from 1 species